UGUGCUGAUUUCACCAAAUCUGAAGCAUGUGAUGGAAUAGAAAAAGCAAGUAGCUGCGGCACAGAAAUAUUAAACAGACUCAUGCUGAAGGAAAAUGCUGAAGACUCAAAUUAUAGCAUCGACUUAAUAUAUUCUUCGAUAAUGCAAAUAUAGAGCUUCAACCAUUUAAGCAUUUGCUAACUAAUUAUUUUCGAAAAAAUAAAAUUUACCCUUAGCAAGUUCAA